AAUCCUGUUUCUUCACUAUUCUUCCUUUGAAUACACACUAAUUAGGAGGGCAGGAGUGUCUUAUUACUGCAGGGUAUAAAUGGAUAUCCUGCCCUCCAUGUUAUCUUCUCUGUCACUGUGAGUGGGGCAGAGCCUUCUUACCACCAAGCAGGAAUGAAUGUGAAAUCUCUGCUCCCUACUUGUGCUUCUCUGACACCACCUCAGUGAGGGGUCAUGGCAGUUCAAUACCGUCUGACAACUCUGAUUAUUACAUUCUGAUCAAUGCCUGCAUGCUCCAAAGCUCCACACUACAGGUUCAAGAGAAGAGUAAUACGUGGUCCUGGGGGAUUUUGAAGAUGUUAAAGGGAAAAGAUGACAAAAAGAAAAGUAUACGAGAGAAACCUAAAGUCUCUGACUCAGACAAUAAUGAAGGUUCAUCUUUCCCUGCUCCUCCUAAACAAUUGG